rnacentral:lncRNA from 1 species
CCCUACCUAUAAAACACUUUGAAAACCCCCCUCAGCGUUAAUAUUUAUUAAAAAAAACUUUAAACACCACCCUUGUAGUUUCACACUUUCUCACUUAGUACCCUUUAGUUUAAAGUGUAUCAAUUUAGUGUCGUGUUGUUCUAUUUUUAUUUUUAAUUAUCGAUUUCACUCAUUUUUUUUCGUUAAAUCUGUGACAGAGUUAAAACUAAAGAGUACUAAAGUAAAUAUUCGAUAAACCUAAGUGGGGUAUCUGAAGCUUUUUGUAUAUAAUUUAACGAAAUAUUAACGGAGAAGCUGACAAAAAGAUAAAAGUAAAACCACAGACACUAACUUGAUACACUUUAAACUAUAGGAUACUAAAUUGCAAAAGUGCGAAACCAUAGGGAUGGUUUUUG